rnacentral:lncRNA from 1 species
UUCAAAGUCGCAAAAAGCUACUUGGAUUUGCCGACAAGCUUAUGGGAAGCCAAGAUUAUAGUGUUUUUUUUAAAUAUAUAUAUUAUUUAUGGUUUGUUAUUAUUAAUUAAUUUUAGUCUUUGUAAUGUGUUGUAAGAUACUCCCUCCGUCCCUUUUUAUCUGUCCAUUUUGGAAAAAAAAACACAUACCAAGAAAUACUUGAUUGUAUAAACUUUUUCAUUAAAUACCUCUAAUUAAUAUCUUGAAAAUGGUGGAAUACCCCUACUUUAUGUCUUGAAAACAUGAAUUCAACCAAGUUUUAAAUAAGUCAAGCCUUGAAAAUUGAAAUUAUGUAGAUAUAUUUGAGAAACUAACAUUAAAUUAGUUUUGAAAGUAUAAAUGGACAGAUAAAUAGGGACGGAGGGAGUAAUACUAUGUCCAGCUGUGUCAUGUAUUUUUUUUAGAGAUUUCCAUGUACAUUGAAUUUGUUUUUAAUUAAUUAUAAUAAUAGAACUAUUCGGUGACUCCCCAACUUAGAUAUUUUAUUUUGUUUAUGUUGUCGUGACAAAAAUAAUGAUGGACGCUUUUUGAAAAACUUCGUGUGUUAAUUUUUGUUUUACAUGAAUUGUUUUGAAGUUGAAUGCAAGUCAAAAUUUGAUAUUGAAUAUCCAAAUACAUUUGAAAAUUA